GCAUUGAGUUUAUUCUUGCGGGAAUUUAGGAGCCAUCAGUGAGAUACCACUCUGGUAAUGUUAGAUUUCUAACUUUGUAUCAUGAUCUGGUCAAAGAACAGUUUCAGGCGGGCAGUUUGACUGGGGCGGUCGCCUCCCAAAUGGUAACGGAGGCGUACAAAGGUUUCCUCUGAACGUGUAGAAAUCGUAUCUAGAGUGUAAAGGCAUAAGGAAGCUUGACUGUGAGACCUACAAGUCGAGCAGGGACGAAAGUCGGUCUUAGUGAUCUGACGGUGCUGAGUGGAAAGGCCGUCACUCAACGGAUAAAAGUUACUCUAGGGAUAACAGGCU
rnacentral:rRNA from 1 species